rnacentral:rRNA from 1 species
ACGGGAGGCAGCAGUGGGGAAUAUUGCACAAUGGGGGGAACCCUGAUGCAGCGAUGCCGCGUGGAGGAAGAAGGUUUUCGGAUUGUAAACUCCUGUCUUAAGGGACGAUAAUGACGGUACCUUAGGAGGAAGCUCCGGCUAACUACGUGCCAGCAGCCGCGGUAAUACGUAGGGAGCGAGCGUUGUCCGGAAUUACUGGGUGUAAAGGGAGCGUAGGCGGGAUGGUAAGUCAGAUGUGAAAUGCAGGAGCUCAACUCCUGAGCUGCAUUUGAAACUGCUGUUCUUGAGUGAAGUAGAGGUAAGCGGAAUUCCUGGUGUAGCGGUGAAAUGCGUAGAUAUCAGGAGGAACACCGGUGGCGAAGGCGGCUUACUGGGCUUUUACUGACACUGAGGCUCGAAAGCGUGGGUAGCAAACAGGAUUAGAUACCCUGGUA